UGGAAAUCAAAAAGCAAUAUGAGAUUCUUCAAGAGGACAUCAAAAACAUUGAGUCAGGCAAAGUUCCCCUGCCAGCUUACAGGACAAAUACCGGAUGCAGCAAAAUAAACAUCAGUAGUGCAAAUUAAAGGCUGAGGAACUUGGAACUCUAUUGAACACCAUUUUCUUAGAAGUCAUUUAACAGUUAGGAGCAUUGACUAGUAACUCUUACCUUGUAACUCUUUUUUUUAGGUGUCUGUAAUUAAUUCCUCUAGCACUCUAUGAUUACCAUUCACUGUCACGCCUCAUUUUAUAUAAUGAAAGAUAAGCAACCUUCUAUUCUUACAAAUUUAGUAUUUAAUUUCAAACAAUUCAUAAGAGGACUGGAUUUCUACAGACGAAGGAGAAGGCUAAUACUAAUGCUAACUACAGAUAAAAACUUCAUGAUAAUCACAUGUAACUGUGAAGUCCCACUUGAAUAAGUGGUUUUAACAAUUUUAUGCAUUAAUGACAUUACGAAAGGGGAGCCAGCAUUGAAAAUCACAAUUCGCAGAAAAUAGUAGUUUAUUCAAAUUUUGCUACAAUACAGUGGUAGUGUGCCGUAAUAACCUUUGCUUGACAACAUUUUUACUAAAUAGCAUAUCACAAAACAAAAGCGAUUUGUCCGCUACUCUAUAGCUGCUAUUUGACAACAUUGAGGAGAGACAAUCAGUCAAAUGACAGGGCAGUACUUUCUGAUUACUACUUUGUAGUGAAACAUAAUAAAUGUAGUAAAACAAGUGUUUUAAUAAGGUCUUACUAUAUAAUAUAAACUUUCUAUAGCUGCUAUUUCACAACAUUUAGUAGAGACCAUCGGUCAAAUGAUAGGGCAGUACUUUCUGAUUACUACUUUGUAGUGAAA